CGCAGUAAUUUUUCUACCCGUUUUGCCGAGCGAUUACCUUGCUUCGCCAUAUGGCGUAAACGGUAACGGUUUAGCGU
rnacentral:tRNA from 1 species